UUUUUUUUUUUUUCUUUUUCACAGCAUAGAGCAGAGACAAAGCACAUGCCUAAGUCUCAGAGAUGGAAUGGCUUUGGAGCCGAUUCCCAAAUGGGAACCUCAGCAUAUUAUUAUAACUUGCUGUGACUCAGUUUCCUAGUCUACAGGAAAAAAAAAAAAAAAAAAGAAUGGGUGACAUUGUUAUUUCACAGCGUUGAUGUAUGAAAUGGGGAAAUCCAAUCAAGUGUUGAGAAUGGGGCUUGACACUUAACAAGUACUCAAGGACGAUUAGCUUUCAUCCUUGGAGACUCUUACUGCCAGAAACUAAUAGUCCCAGAUUGCAUUCUGUACUAUUUAUUCUUUUAUAUAUACUAUUCCUAACAAACCUAACAGGAGAAGUAACUUGGGGAGCAUUGAAAAGACUCCAGCCCAAAAAGUGACCCCCUAGAAUAAGAGUCUAAUGCUUCUUUCUCUUCCCUCCCUCCUUGCUGGGUUUGACGUUACAGACAUUUCCAAGUGAGAUGAAGCUGCCGUGGAGGGUGUAUAAUAGAUAGCCAGUGUAAGGAAAAAGGAAUUUUCCACUGUACUCUCCUCACGUGGAAGUGUACCAGAGGAUUAAAUCAUGGCAUCAGGUGUGACAUGCUGCUUAAUGGUUCACACUUGGCAGCCUGAAGACUCUUCAAAGGUAAUUGUAUCUGAGAAGAGAGAAUGGCUUAUACCCCUUUCCUCCACUCUUUUCUUAAGGGAAACAACCUAAUUACAAUUUUAAAGGGACCUCAGAAUCUGUGUCCCCUUUCAAAGAUGGCAUUUGGUAUUGAGUCCCUGGGUAUUGCAGCAGGGAAAGAUCUUUCAGAUUCGGGCGCAAAGGGAAGGGCUCAUUCAGGGAAAGCUUUAAGGCCUCUAUCUGCACCCAUUUGGGCAAGGUUCUGGCAGUGCCCCUGGCUUUUUGCUUGCAUUUGUGUCUGAGUAUCAAUGGACUCGCACUGCUGUUAUUCUCACAUCUGUAUUCCUUUUAGAGCAACUCUCAGAGGCUUUACUUAGGCCCCUCAAUUCUGUGUCCUAAAACAUGAAAUGCGUUUUGAAAUGGACUCCUUUCUCUUAAAAGAGAUGAGUGUAGGAGAGGUUACAGUAGCUCUGAAUUUUAGACUUUUAUGACUCACUUACUCUCAGAAGUGGUCAAGCAUGUGAGAUGUUUGAUAUCUAGAAAAAAAAAUGCACAUACUGCCUUUAAAAAUGAAGCAUGAUUGAGGUCGAGCAAACCCACCCACCGACUGAAGCCAACAUCUGAAAUUGUCUUGAUGAAUUAGCAUUUGUUUUGUUCUCUAGGUGGCUAGGAAAAGGUUUAGCAACUAUUGGAAGUAAAGCAGAAGGAAUUGCUGCAACAAAUAAGAUGGGAUGGCACAGAAAUAUGCAAAGUUAGAGAUAUUCAUGGAUUUUUAGAUGUAGAAGAAACCUUAUUAUUAACCCAAUCUCAUGAUUUACAGAUGAAAAAUAAGUGAGAUACAAAGUUAAGUAACUUUUCCUAGAGUUCCCCCAUUUUGGCUCAGUGGGUUAAGGACCUGACUAGCGACAAUGAGGAUGCAGAUUUUCUCCCUGGCCUCACUGGGUAGAUUAAGGAUCUGGCAUUGCCACUGCAGCAUAGGUUGCAGGUACAGCCUGGAUCCUAUGUAGCUGUGGCUGUGGCAUAGGCCAGCAGCUGUAGCUCCGAUUCAACCCCUAACCUUAGGUGUGUCCCUAAAAGGGGAAAAACAAACAAACAAACAAACAAACAAAAAAGUUAUAUAACUUUACCAAAGUCAUCUUAUAUUCCAAAAUUUGACCUUUGACUUGGUAAUACUGAAGAACAAGCAUUAGAAUGAAGGUUUUUAAAAUUAUUAAAAAUAUUUUUGUACCUUUCACCCCAGAUUUAACUCUUAAGUGAAAGAUACCAAACCAGCAUGCAAAUAAGUAUAAACACACAACUGAGAUGAGUGCUUUUAUGUGAGGAGUGCAUGGUGUUUUAUGUUCUCAUGACAGAGGAAUCAAGUGAGAUCUGAAAAACCACACAGAAGUAGAAUUAACCAGGAGGAAGAAUUAAGGAAUGGAGGAGAGGUGCAUGGAACAUUCUAGAUAAAGAAAUCUCAUGGAAACCCUUGUUUUUUUCAGGGGUCAUUACACAGGCAUGAGAGACCAGACCAAGAUAGCAAAGGGGAAAUAUAGAAAAAUUAAAUAGCACCCAUUUUCCAUGGGCGAGGCACUUUUAUUUGUGUUUAUUUAUUCCUCUCAACAGCUCUGUGAUCUAACUCUUCUCUCCCCAAAUUACAGAUAAGGGGACUAAAGUUUUGUAUAGUUGAAAGGACUAUCAGUGGCUUCACAGGUAGUGAACAGAACUGGCAGACUGCUGAAUUUCAAAAUGCAUUGUGAUUCUGCUGGGAUCGGUGGGGAGUGGGGAAGAAAGUGAGCAAGUUGGGAAGAGAUGCUGAAGGAAUGAGCAAGUAAAAUGAGAUCAGUGCAUUGGGAAUGUGCCCGUGAAUCAGGACUCUGUCCCUCACUCUCUAGCCACCCAGCCUGUACCGUAAAUGAAUGUCUGGCUCAGGAGGAAGAUGGAAUGAGUUCUGUAGGUCCUCAGCCUUUAUCAUUCUCACAGGGUAUUCCCUUGAGAAAGGAUGGGGUGCAUUGGGCCAGGCAUGAAGGCAGUUAAAAACUUUGAAACGGAUAGUAAGAGCAAUUGCCAGGCUGGAAUAAUUCAUGACUUUGUGUCCCAUUUGGGGGGAAAAAAAAAAAAUUUUUUUUAAGGAUUCUUUUUUGUUUUUAAGUGGUGUGAGCAUUCCUUUUGUCUCAGUCUGCUGAAGUUGCUAUGACAAAAUAUCCCUAGGUGAACCUUAAAAAAGCUCAACUCUGAGACAGAGACUAGAUUGUGGUUACCAGGGUCUAAAGGGUGUGACGGAAACAGAGGAGAUGUUAGUCAAAGGGUACAAACUUGCAGUUAUAAGACAAAUAAGCUCUUGGGUGAUUGUGGUUGCUAAUACCACUAUGUUAUAUACUUGAGAAUACAUUUUCCAUGUUUUCAAUGUUCUC
rnacentral:lncRNA from 1 species